UUAAUUGAAGAGUUUGAUCAUGGCUCAGAUUGAACGCUGGCGGCAGGCCUAACACAUGCAAGUCGAGCGGCAGCACAGAGGAACUUGUUCCUUGGGUGGCGAGCGGCGGACGGGUGAGUAAUGCCUGGGAAAUUGCCCGGUAGAGGGGGAUAACCAUUGGAAACGAUGGCUAAUACCGCAUAACCUCACAAGAGCAAAGCAGGGGACCUUCGGGCCUUGUGCUACCGGAUAUGCCCAGGUGGGAUUAGCUAGUUGGUGAGGUAA
rnacentral:rRNA from 1 species